GAUGAACGCUGGCGGCGUGCCUAAUACAUGCAAGUCGAGCGAACGGACGAGAAGCUUGCUUUUCUGAUGUUAGCGGCGGACGGGUGAGUAACACGUGGAUAACCUACCUAUAAGACUGGGAUAACUACGGGAAACCGGAGCUAAUACCGGAUAAUAUUUUGAACCGCAUGGUUCAAAAGUGAAUGUCGGUCUUGCUGUAACUUAUAGAUGGAUCCGCGCUGCAUUAGCUAGUUGGUAAGGUAACGGCUUACCAAGGCAACGAGGCAUAGCCGACCUGAGAGGGUGGUCGGCCACACUGGAACUGAGACACGGUCCAGACUCCUACGGGAGGCAGCAGUAGGGAAUCUUCCGCAGUGGGCGAAAGCCUUACGGAGCAACGCCGCGUGAGUGAUGAAGGUCUUCGGAUCGUAAAGCUCUGUUAUUAGGGAAGAACAUAUGUGUAAGUAACUGUGCACAUCUUGACGGUACCUAAUCAGAAAGCCACGGCUAACUACGUG
rnacentral:rRNA from 1 species